rnacentral:rRNA from 1 species
AAUAAUAGAUUUGAAAUAUUUAUUAUAUAGAUUUAAAGGGAUAAUCAUGGAAUACAUAAGUUAUUAAUAGUUAUAGGUUACUAAUAAAAUAUAUAUUAUAUAUAUUUUUAAUACCUAAGGGAAACCUAUAAAAUAUAAAACUAAGUGAACUGAAACAUCUAAGUAACUUAAGGAAAAUAAAUCAACCGAGAUAUCAUAAGUAUUGGUGAGAGAAAAUGAUAUAGUCAAAAAUUAAUAAUUCUAUUAAUUUAAAUAAGUAUUAUGUAAGAUAAUAUGUAAGAAUAUAGGACAAACUAGUUCUAAGACUAAAUACUAUUAAUAAACAAAAUAAGUACCGUAAGGGAAAGUAUAUAAGUGGUUAUUCUAUAAGCAGUUAUAAAUAUAAUUAUUAUAUUAAUAACGUACCUUUUGUAUAAUGGGUCAGCAAGUAAUUAAUAUUAGCAAAAUAUAUAUAUAUACAUUUUUAUAAAAUGUAUUUAUAUUAUAAAUAAAUUGAAUAUUUAAUAAUUGUAUAACCCCCUCUUUCAUAUCUAUGGAAAAGGGGAUUAAGUUAAUAUUAAUUGACCCGAAAGCAAAUGAUCUUAUUAUGACAAGACGGAAAUAUUAUAAAUAAUAAUAAAACGGUCGAACAGGUUGAUGUUGCAAAAUCAUCUGAUUAGUUGUGAUAAGUAGUGAAAGACAAAUCUGAUUUGCAGAUAGCUGGUUUUCCACGAAAUAUAUGUAAGUAUAGCCUCUUACCCAUUCUUCCCCCGUAUAUUUAUAUACGGAGGGGGAAAAUAUAUAAUUAUUAUAUUAUAAAAAUAAUAUAAUGGACGGUACAGCUACAAAUAUCCUUUCAUCUUUAUUACUUAUUAUUUUAUUUAUAAAAUGAUAAGUUUAUGGAUGAUUUUUGGGGAAUUAUUGUAAUUUUAUCAAAGAUAUUUGAUCUCGAAAUGUUUAAUUAUAUAAUAAGAGAGUCAGACUAUGCGCGAUAAGGUGAAUAGUCUAAAGGGAAACAGCCCAGAUUAAGAUAUAAGGUUCCUAAUUUAAUAAUAAGUGAAAUAAAUAUUAAAAUAUUAUAAUACAAUUAGUUGAUGGGUUUGACAAUAACCAUUCUUUAAUGAACAUGUAACAAUGCACUAAUUUAUAUCUUUAAUAUUUCAAAUCAAAAAUAUAUUUUUGUUAAUAGACAAUAUACGGAUCUUAUACAUAUUAUUAUUAAUUAAUUAAUUAAUUAAUAAUAAUAAUAAUUAUUAAACCGAAUAUCUAAAUAUUAUUAUAUAUAAUUAAAUAUAAUAAUAUGGUAGUGGAACAUCUAAUGAAGAAAUAUAUUAGUCAUUGAUUAAUAUAAUAUAUAUAUAAAAAAUAUAUAUAUAAUAAUUAGAUAGAGAAUGCUGACAUGAGUAACGAAAAAAAGGUAUAAACCUUUUCACCUAAAGCAUAAGGUUUUACUAUAAAAGUACGGCCCUUAAGUUAAAUAUGAAUAUAAAUAUAUAAAUGAUAGGAUAAAUCUAAAUUAAAAUAAAAAAACUUUAUUAUUAAUUAAUAAAAUAAUUAAUAAACUAAUAGAGUUCAAGAAAUAUUUUUAAUGGAUACCGUAAUGUAUACCGACUCUGGUAUGUUAGUAGAGAAUAUGAAGGUGAAUUAGAUAAUUAAAGGGAAGGAACUCGGCAAAAAUAGCUCUAACGUUAGUCAAUAAAGAGAACCCCGCUAUGCGGGGUAUUAAGAACAAAGUUGUCCAACUGUUUACUAAAAACACCGCACUUUGCAGAAACGAUAAGUUAACGUAUAAGGUGUGAACUCUGCUCCAUGCUUAAUAUAUAAAUUAUAUUAUUGAAAGAUAAUAUAAUUAAAGUUAGGUAAAUAGCAGCCUUAUUUUGAGGGUUCUAAGGUAGCGAAAUUCAUUGUCCACUAAUUAUGGUCCUGCAUGAAUGACGUAAUGAUACAACAACUGUCUCCCCUUUAAGCUAAGUGAAAUUGAAAUCGCAGUGAAGAUGCUGUGUACCUAUAGUGUGACGGAAAGACCCUAUGCAGCUUUACUGUAAUUAGAUAGAUCGAAUUAUUAUAUAUCAUAUUCAGAAUAUUAAGUAAUUGUUUAAAUAAAUAUGAGAUACUUAUUUUGAUAUUUAUAAUAAUUCUAAUCCUAUAUAUUAUUUAAUAGAUUUAUUCUUAAAUUAUCCCAUCUUCCUAAUAUAAUUAAGAAGACGGGAAUAGGAGACAAUCUCUAAUUGGUAGUUUUGAUGGGGCGUCAUUUUCAGCAAAAGUAUCUGAAUAAGUCCAUAUACAUAUUAUAAUCUUAUUUCUAUUCUCCCAAAUUUAACAUAUUAAUGUAUAUUUGAGAGGAUAAUAUAAAGUAUAUAUUAUAUAUAUUAAUUGUAAAUUAGCCCCCCCCACCCAACUGCAAAGCAGUUGGGUGCGGGGGGGA